UACGAAGGGGGCUAGCGUUGUUCGGAUUUACUGGGCGUAAAGCGCACGUAGGCGGAUCGAUCAGUCAGGGGUGAAAUCCCAGAGCUCAACUCUGGAACUGCCUUUGAUACUGUCGAUCUGGAGUAUGGAAGAGGUGAGUGGAAUUCCUAGUGUAGAGGUGAAAUUCGUAGAUAUUAGGAAGAACACCAGUGGCGAAGGCGGCUCACUGGUCCGGUACUGACGCUGAGGUGCGAAAGCGUGGGGAGCAAACAGG
rnacentral:rRNA from 1 species